GACGAACGCUGGCGGCGUGCUUAACACAUGCAAGUCGAACGGAAAGGCCCUGCUUUUGUGGGGUGCUCGAUUGGCGAACGGGUGAGUAACACGUGAGUAACCUGCCCUUGACUUUGGGAUAACUUCAGGAAACUGGGGCUAAUACCGGAUAGGAGCUCCUGCUGCAUGGUGGGGGUUGGAAAGUUUCGGCGGUUGGGGAUGGACUCGCGGCUUAUCAGCUUGUUGGUGGGGUAGUGGCUUACCAAGGCUAUGACGGGUAGCCGGCCUGAGAGGGUGACCGGCCACAUUGGGACUGAGAUACGGCCCAGACUCCUACGGGAGGCAGCAGUGGGGAAUAUUGCACAAUGGGCGGAAGCCUGAUGCAGCAACGCCGCGUGCGGGAUGACGGCCUUCGGGUUGUAAACCGCUUUCGCCUGUGACGAAGCGUGAGUGACGGUAAUGGGUAAAGAAGCACCGGCUAACUACGUG
rnacentral:rRNA from 1 species